UACGUAGGGUGCAAGCGUUGUCCGGAAUUAUUGGGCGUAAAGAGCUUGUAGGCGGUUUGUCGCGUCUGCCGUGAAAAUCCGGGGCUCAACCCCGGACUUGCGGUGGGUACGGGCAGACUAGAGUGUGGUAGGGGAGACUGGAAUUCCUGGUGUAGCGGUGAAAUGCGCAGAUAUCAGGAGGAACACCAAUGGCGAAGGCAGCACUCUGGGACGUGACUGACGCUGAGACGCGAAAGCGUGGGGAGCAAACAGG
rnacentral:rRNA from 1 species